AUGAGCUUCAUAAGAAGAUUAUGGAGGCCGGUUACAAGUAGGUUAACAAACCACCGUGAGAUAUUUGUUCCAAUAGAUAGGUAAUGAGCUUAUUAAAAUUUCAUUUCUUUUUUAUACUUUUCAUUCUUACACACAGAGUCAUGCAUGGUACAAAAAAUAAGAAAAUACUAGCCAAGAAAUAUUGCAUCAAACUAAGGGGAAUUGAUGCACCCGAAAGUCAAAUGCCCUUUGGUAAAGAGUCAACGGAUGAGUUGAUAAAAAUAGUCCAAGGCAUUGUACUCAAAAUACAUGUCUACUAUUAAGAUCGGUAUAACAGAACUGUUGGAGAUAUAUAUUGUGAUGGUAAAUUUGUCCAGUUGGAAAAGGAAGCCCGUGAAGCUAAAACUGAGUUAUGGAGUGUAUAAACCCUAAGAAACCAUGGGAUUGGAGGAGAAAGCAAUAAGUGGACAGAAAUGAUGCAUCCUCAUCCCCUCUUUAAUGAGAUUUUAGUUGCUUUAUCCUUUUGUGAUGGAGAGGAAGAAUUGAUGUCCUUGUUAGACAGGAUUUGUUGGAUGCUAGCAGGUCAUAGCUCUAGAAGAAUUAGUGGUAAUUUUUCUUUUUACUCAAAAUCAUCUGCUUAAUUUUUUUCUUUUCAUUUUUCAUUUAUUUUUGUUUUUUUUAGAGAGAGUUUGAUCGCCAAGUUAUAUGUGGAUUGCAGAGAA